rnacentral:rRNA from 1 species
CCCUCGUCGGCUUGCUUGAAGGAUUAUUCGAUGCAACGCGAAGAACCUUACCAAGGCUUGACAUAACCGAGAACGCUGUAGAGAUACAGAACUCUUUGGACACUCGGUUACAGGUGGUGCAUGGUUGUCGUCAGCUCGUGUCGUGAGAUGUUCGGUUAAGUCCGGCAACGAGCGCAACCCUCGUCCUAUGUUGCCAGCACGUUAUGGUGGGAACUCAUGGGAUACUGCCGUGGUCAACACGGAGGAAGGUGGGGAUGACGUCAAAUCAUCAUGCCCCUUAUGUCUUGGGCUUCACGCAUGCUACAAUGGCCGAUACAAAGGGCUGCGAUACCGCGAGGUGGAGCGAAUCCCAAAAAGUCGGUCUCAGUUCGGAUUGGGGUCUGCAACUCGACCCCAUGAAGUCGGAGUCGCUAGUAAUCGCAGAUCAGCAACGCUGCGGUGAAUACGUUCCCGGUUGGGGGAAAUCCCCGAAAA